CAAAGAAAGAGCAUGCGCACACUGUUAAAACAGGGGUGUAUACACCAUGUACUAGGGUGUAAAUAAGACCUGGUUUGGAGAGUAAACAAAAGGGGGUGUAAAUAUCAUAGCAUAAGGGUGUAAUCUACAAUAGUAUGGGUGUAAACUACAAUAGCAUGGGUGUAAACUACAAUAGCAUGGGGUGUAAACUACAAUAGCAUAAAGAGUGCAUCAUUAUAUACUACCAGUUUGCCUUUACUACACUGUACUUUAUUGAUUGCAGUACAGUCUAAUUAAAGUUCAAGGAAGAAAUUCAUCUGACACAGAGAAAAAUAAUAAAUCAAGUAUAAAACACAUCACAUUGAGCUAAAAAGUAUAAGUUUUGGAACGAUACAUAGCGUACUAAUACUUUCUGGUAAUAUUCUAACAUAAUUACGGUUAGGUACAAAAGAAAAGAGUGAGUGCUGAGUUCCUACAAUGUAUAAACAGUGGAAACUACUGUGAUGGUUGUAGUCUACUCGUACUCUACUGUGUCAAGUGAUUGUGAAAGUACACUUUUUGUGAGUUGAGGACAAAUAUAAUAAUGUCCAUCAGCUUUCCAAACAUAAAGAACUCUCAUGCAUGUCCAACAAGACUAGAGCUAGCUAGCUAGCUGGGCUUCAUCAACUUCAGUCACAUAGAAUUUACAGGCCCCACCCAUAAUUAUUAAUUGAGGUGUGCGUUUUUUAGGAGACACAUAAGGUGUGAUUCACACCUCUGUGCACGUGUAUUAAUACUUGACUGGUAGCUAGCUAGCUAGCUAUUCAUCCCUGGGUUCUCAAGUAUCCAGUAACAUCCCUUUUAUCGACAACAGCUUUAGUAAACAAGUUGCUAACCAACUUCCUAGAGAAUGGGACAUUGAUAUUGAUGGGAUCGGGAAAGAUAAGAGACCGAGUCAAGCUCAAGAAACUUCAAUAGAGCUCAUCACCAGACAAAAACUGACAUAUUUUGAAAGAAGGAAGACAGUACAGCCCUCGGUCUCAGAUCUUAAAUAAAUGUUCCUUCUUUGAAACUUCACGAAGUGGCCUAUUCAUGAACCGAGUUCAAGAGAAUCGUCAGUAUUGAAAAAAGAUGUGAGUGUCCAAUCGAUUAUUAAUGGAGAACUGGGACUCAUGGAUUAUUGCAUAUUCUAAGUUGGAGAUGGCGACAAGGUAAAAAAUUGAUAGCGGGGGUUCUUCAGAUGAUAUCAAGAAUUCAGACGAUCUUUGUGCCAGACCAGUACAGACUGUAUUUUCUGUGUGAUGUUGAACAAGAGCCAACGUGCGAGCUAAGUGUAUUCUUUGGACUCAACGAACAAAAUUGAACCCUUUGGCACAUGUAUAAUUAUAAUCUCAUUUUAGUGCUGCUAUGAUGUUUUGUUUCUUUGCUGCUAUACUUUUGUGGAUGUGUUUUAAGCUGUGA